AAAGCAUAAGCCAUUUAGAUAUAAAAUUAUCGCCAGUUAAUUUCAUAUUAUUCUACAGGAAAUGAGUAAUUAUGGUUAGCAUAAACAUAACUGAUUCAGAGUCUACAUCACUGAGACUGGGCUUUCACUGAAGGGAAACCAGGUGGAAUAACUGAUGGCAGAGGUCAAAUGUUCCAGUACACCAUAGCAGUGAACGGUCACACACAAGAGCAGGACCUCUCCUAAAUGGAAUGCAGCCAUAAUUAAUAUAUUUAUCCCACUUCAGCUUCUGAUAUGCAAGACAAAAUUUGCUGCUGCCCUAGAUUUUUUGUUUUGCAGUAAGAGAUGUUUUUAGUCAUCUGUUAAUGACUGCGAAGGCCGGCUGCUUAAGGUUCAUAUCAUUUGUUUUUGUCCAGGUCAUAUGCCAAUGAAAGAGGAGCAAGUACUAAUACUGAAACAUAGUUGCCCUCUUCUGUAUUUUUUUUUUCCUCUACGCAGACUUCUGGAUUUCAGGCAUGAUUGAUUUUGUGCUCCCCUUAAUUCCCUUCAUUUAAUCCCUCUGACAUAUUGAGAAAGUAAUGGAAGUGCUCCUUCUGAGAGCUGCUAUUGUGUGAGGAGCUGUCAUAACUCCAUGACAGGACUACUGCAUCUUUUCAGUCACAUAUUCUACAUUUUAAUUUUACAUUGUAUCUACAUAUAAGAGAAGAACAGUAGAGACAGCUGGGGUAUCUUGUAGCUUUGUUUUUUUUUUUUCUAAAAUAAACUCUAAUGAUUCAUAGGUGCUGUAGGUCUUAUGUAUGCUUGGCUUCGUUGCCAUUGUAAUAAUAUCAUAUGUAAUCAUGGCCUAUUUUUUUUUUAUGCUGCAGUACCAAACAGAAUCUAUUUUUGCCUUUAGUCUAAACCCACCCACAGUGAAUUUUUGUUACAGUAUUUAGGCUUGGAACACAUCUCAGCUAAUUGCUUCUGGGUCAAGAAGAAUAUGCUCAAGCCCUUAUCUAGACUGCGGUUACUAGGUGACGACACACCCUGCGCAUUAUGUGCCUCUGAAUUUUUUGGGAGGAGAGGCACAGAGAGCAAAACCUCUACAGGAUAUUUGCGUUCAUCACCACGUCUAGCAGCUCGUUUUAGUUGUUUUGUAUGCGGUGACGCUAGCACAGCUGAAAUUCACAUCAGAUCAGAGUUUUUGGUUUCACCUGAAAUUUCAACUAAAAAAAAAGAAGAAGAAGAAAAAAAUUACCAGCAAAACAAUGCAUCACAAUACAUCCCAGCUGUUACAGAGCGACAGGUAGAGGGUUACACCCUGGAUAGUUGCUAAGCUGUUGCACGGCUAACACAGAGAGACAGACAACCGUUACACUCACAUCUACAGCCAAUUUAGAAUCACUAAUUAACCUGACCCCACUAACUGCAUGUCUUGGCACUGUGGGAGGAAGCUGGAGUACCUGGAGAGAUCCUGAACAUGCAAAACUCCACACAGAAAGGCCCAGAUGGCAGAUCCAAACCCAGGACUUUGUGAGCCAACAGAGUCAACCACCAGGCUCAAAUGGGUUGAAGACUCAAGUGUUUUUGAAGCAGGAUGUGUGUCAGUGUGUGCCUGUUUGUCAAUGUCUAUGUGUCAGGUCAGGUCUUAAACUCUCCUUCUCUCUGAGAAAAGCUCAAGCUCGACCGGGUUUGGGGCCUGUUUAUCCCCGACACACUCCCUGCCAGUGGCUGGUGCCCCCACCAGUGAAUUGCUGGUUCUCGGUGUCUGGGGCUGGAUACUCGGGUGUGUACUGGCUCGCUCCUGGCGGCUGCUUCGCGGGGCCUGGGCCCUGCUCUUCUACUCUAUUUUUCUCUCCCUUCUGCUCCUUCUGUUAACUUUUUCCCCAACUUCAUUUUCUUUUGUUUUUUUAUAGGCCCCCAGUCUUGUCUGUUAUGGCUCUUUAUCAGUCUACUCAAUCCGCUGGUGAAGUAUUACAAGUUGUCACAAGUAUUCAGGGAGUUGGCAGAGGCCACAGACUGGGGACCUGUCCAGGAUGUACCCUGCCUCUCCCCCUAUGACGGCUGGGAUAGGCUCCAGGCCCCUGGGACAGCCGAGUUAGAUAAGCAAAACAAAAUGGAUGGAUGGAUGCUUGCCAAAACUAACAACAAAAGCUGACUUCUUGGAGAGCAUCUGGCAAUAUAAUAGAUUGGUGUGUAUGCCCCAGGUAAGACUGAAGUUCAUAAAGGAGAUGGACCAAAGGCUCUAGAUGUGAAACAAAGAACAGCAAAGAACGACGUCUACACACUGUGCAGAUAUAAAUCUACAGUAUUAUAAAUAUUGUGCCACUGCGCGGGGAACGCCUCAACUUUUACAAACUAAACAGAGCACAAUAGCGUCAUCAAAGGGAAGUUGGGAUAAAUGAAAAUUCAGGCGCUAACAUGAGGAGGCAGUUAAUGAAAUUUUCUCCCAGCUAUGAGUUUGUAUUAAUUUAGACAGCAUCUGCUCACUGUCAUUAUAUAACGCUUCUGUUUAGGAUACUGUAAUGAUAGGGAAAACCGGAUCUCAGAGCUCCUCCUCCCCUCGUUGUAUCCUCUUUUAUGUGAGUCCAACUGUUAAUAAAUUCCAUCAAAUUGAAGAUCUGUCCGAGAUCCAGUCGUUUUAUAAAACUCAUUUGGUUUUGUGUUGCAAUCUUUCUGCUCUGUGGGAACAGACGCUUUCUAGUCUAUAGUGUAUAGUAUGACACUUGGGGUUGGUUACCAAGGCAACUAGGAAUCCUUGCUAUAGCUGUUAUUCAUUCAUAUCCAGGAAGACGUCACACACAACAUACAUGCUGUGCUUUUCUUAGGGCCUUUGUAAUUUGACUCUCAUGGCCAAUUUUUACAAAUAUUACAUGUAUUUAUUUAUUUUAUGUCUAACAGGGUUGUGUUUUCUUUCAUGGUCCUUUGAUAAAGCGCUAUCCUGGAAAUAGAUUGCUAUCUAAUUGUAAGUCAUAAGAAAUCUUUUUGAUGAAAGAGUAUGUAACUGUAUGCUAACUGAAGUUCAACAUCGUCGGCCCGGCCGGCUUUCCUGGCUGUUUGACUCCUAGUUUAUUUUUUGCAUAAUUUCCACUUUCCCAUGUUGUCAGACUCAUUGCUGACAUCACUGCUGUAGUCCAAUCAUCUUCCUGCCUGCCUUCUGUGAGCCAGUGAGCCUCCAUCCUCCAUUACCUUGGCCUCCAAUAACACUGGCUUUAAAGACCUGCAUUUCCAGAUUCGGGAACAGUUUCUAUCCAACAGCCAAAAAUGAACUCAGUUUUCCCCUCCCAGUAUCUUUCCAAUAGCUCUAAGUCACUAGUUGCACAAAAAUAGCACUUUAAAGCAUUUAAAUUCUUAUAAUAUUUUUAUCUUUUAAGUACAUUGCUUUAUAGAUUGGAUUUCUAUAGUAGUGCAUUUUUUAUUACAUUUUUAUUUUGUUUUGUUUUUAAUUUAUUGGGCAUGUGUACAAUGCAACUUUCUUUUGUUAAAGACAGCAAAUCUUAUUGUAUGUGUUGCAUGUAAUGACAUUGAAGGUAGUCUAAUCCUGAAUCCGAUUCUGAAGUAUAUCCUGUAAAUUACAUAUAAAUAAAAGCUAAAUUGUUGCUGACAUUGUUUCAACAAUGUUAUUUCAGUCUAUGAAAUCAUGAUCAGUUAUUUACACAUUAUUAUUAUUAUUAUAUAAAUAAUACAUAUCAAUGCAUAAAACCACCCGAAUAUUACUAAAAAUGUCAUGGCUCAAAAGU